UACGAAGGGUGCAAGCGUUACUCGGAAUUACUGGGCGUAAAGCGUGCGUAGGUGGUGAGUUAAGUCUGUCGUGAAAGCCCCGGGCUCAACUUGGAAAUGGCAUCGGAUACUAUUCGGCUCGAGGAAUGGAGGGGAGACUGGAAUACUUGGUGUAGCAGUGAAAUGCGUAGAUAUCAAGUGGAACACCAGUGGCGAAGGCGAGUCUCUGGACAUUUCCUGACGCUGAGGCACGAAAGCCAGGGGAGCAAACGGG
rnacentral:rRNA from 1 species